rnacentral:rRNA from 1 species
AGAAACGAACGCGUGGCGGCGACGGACCUAACACAUGACAAGUACGAACGAGAUUCGUUCGGAUCUAGGUGGGCGGGACGGGUGAAGUAACGCGGUAGGGAACGUCGUCCCUUCUCGUAACGGAAUACGUCCCGGGAAAACUGGGGUUUUAAAUACCGUAUACGCCCUUCGGGGAAAGAAUUUCGGGGAAGGAUCGGCCCGCGUUGGAUUAGGUAGUUGGUGGGGUAAUGGCCUACCAAGCCGACGAUCCAUAGCUGGUUUGAGAGGAUGAUCAGCCACACUGGGACUGAGACACGGCCCAGACUCCUACGGGAGGCAGCAGUGGGGAAUCUUAGACAAUGGGGGCAACCCUGAUCUAGCCAUGCCGCGUGAGUGACGAAGGCCCUAGGGUCGUAAAAGCU